GUGUCACCCAUAGAAAUGUUUUAAGAUUUUAGAUCUGCAUUUACACUAGCAUUGUCAACAAAUCUAAGUAUAAAUGUAAAAAUGUAAACGUAGAACAAUAAUGCUUAUUUGAUUAUCUAAGGAAUCAUCCUUUGAUUACCGCUUUAAAAUGUAACCAUUUCCUUAUUAGAAAAUAAUGAUACUUUCUUCAUUUACGAAGUUCCUAACUACAGAUUCCAUACACGCUUGUGUUAUAUUAAUUUCUAAACAAGAUACGCGAUUGGUUGUGUCAUAAAUGUUUUCUUCCCAAAAGCGGAAGCAGUUAUCUUGGAGGAUAAGGAAGCAGCUAUACGAUGUGUGUAUUAAGAACAAGGGAUGAUAUAAGGUGAAGGGG